rnacentral:rRNA from 1 species
UACAGAGGUCCCAAGCGUUGUUCGGAUUCAUUGGCGUAAAGGGUGCGUAGGCGGCGCGGUAAGUCGGGUGUGAAAUCUCGGGGCUUAACUCCGAAACUGCAUUCGAUACUGCCGUGCUUGAGGACUGGAGAGGAGACUGGAAUUUACGGUGUAGCGGUGAAAUGCGUAGAUAUCGUAAGGAAGACCAGUGGCGAAGGCGGUCUCGUGGACAGUUCCUGACGCUGAGGCACGAAGGCCAGGGAGCAAACGGG